ensembl:lncRNA PCAT18 prostate cancer associated transcript 18
CUUUUUCUUCGUAACUUCAUGGCAACAUGACCUACAGUUACUCAUUUUUCAGGCCUGAGUUGAUCGUUAAUCAUCUUAAUUAUGUUCAUUCUGAAGCCAACAGGAGAACCAAGACCAAAACUUUAUUGUCUCUGCUUUCAUUUCUUGAUGAAACCUCUGGACUAAGCACACAUCUUCCUUGUUUAUCUCUCUCAAAGGAGUGUGGAGUGCUUCAUCUGGACAUCCACGGGAAGAAGGAAGACAUGAGGGAAUGCUGGAAGAGGAGACAGGCCCCAGAUUUGGGCAGGAAGUAAACAGUUUUCAGGCUGAGGCCAAUCUGAGCAGGAACAUUCCAAUAUUUCUUCAGCUACGUUGUCCCAGCACUUCACUGGUUAACCUUUUAUGUCCACCAUUUGUGGAUUUCACAGCUACUUGUCAAUGGUGAAUAUUGAUCAUCAUCAUUAUCUACUGAGCUGCUACCAUAUCCCAGCUACUCCUUGCAUGUUGUUCAUUAUUUUCUCAACACUCAGCAUAUUUGCAAUAUGUUAUGUAAUAUCACAGACAAGGAAACUGAACGCAGAAAUGUUUUAUUUCUUGCCAAACAUCACAUGAGGAUGAACAAUGAAACCGAUUUGAAACCAGGAUUGUCUGAUUCCAACAUCUCUGGGUCCUUUUUCACUCUGAUAUGCUGCAAUUAAAAAGCCAUUUCUAAGACUGUACGUUCCAAGAUUGUUUCUAUAGUUGGUUGUGAGAGAAGUUUCUCUGAACUUGCAGAGCACGGGAAACCAGGAGGAGGAGGCUCAGGGUGCUCUCCACACGUGUGAAACCGGCUGUGGGUGUUGCUUUCCUGUGACUGCCAUUUGCCACUGAUGAUCUUCUCUUCCUCUGGAAGAGUAAGAGGGGGAAGGACACAGUUUCAGUGCUUCCCAUUUAUAAUUAAUUAAUUAAUUAAGGGCAGGUGCAGGGGCUCACACUUGUAACCCCAGCACUUUAGGAGAUUGAGCAAGGAGGAUCCCCUGAGCCUGGGAGUUUGAGAUCAGCCUGGGAAGCAGAGUGAGACCAUGACUUAAAUAAAAAUUUUUUUGUGUUUUGUUCUAAUUUUUACUUUUUUGAGACAGGGUCUCGCUCUGUUGCCCAGGCUGGAGUGCAGUAGCGUGAUCUCAGCUCACUGCAACCUCUGCCUCUGGGUUCAAACAAUUCUCAUGCCUCAGCCUCCCAAGUAGCUGGGAUUACAGGUGCCUGCCACCAUGCCCAACUAAUUUUUUUGUACUUUUAGUAGAGACGGGUUUUCACCAUGUUGGUUGGCCAGGCUGGUCUCGAACUCCUGACCUCAAGUGAUCCGCCCACCUCAGCCUCCCAAAGUGCUGGGAUUACAGGCAUGAGCCACCACGCCCGACCAAAAAAAAAUUUUUUUUUUUCAAUUAGCCAGACAUUGUGGCAUGUGCCUGUAGUCGCAGCUACCAUGGGGGCUGAGGUGGGAGGAUAGCUUGAGCCCAGGAGUUUGAAACCAGCCUGGGCAGCAAAGUGAGACCCUGCCUCAAAAAUAAAAAAUAAAAAAAAAGCUAUUUCUUACAGAUAUUCAUUGAGUGGAAAGCAAUUUAAUUUUACGUAUAAUAAGUUAUUUCAAAAAGAAUUGUAGUUAUGUGUGGCAAUUUUUCAUAAAUACCUGAUACAAAUCAAGAUCUACCAUGGUAAGUGUGCUCCAGAGAUACCCUUCUUGACCAAAACAAAGCAGGGCAGGGAUUGGGAGGCCUUUUGGGCUGGGCUCCAGGACACAAUGACUAGAAGAUGAUGCAAAGUGCAUGACAGAGUAGAGAGCUACACAGUUUACACAUAUUAGACUCUGCACAUAUUAGAGUCUACACAUAUUAGACUCUGCAAAAGUAGUUCUUAAAUGUUAGCUCACAUGCACCCCAGUCACGUUACUGAGCAGAUUCCUGGGCUCCAGUCCUGGGUGAUUCUUGCAGGUGGUCCAUUGACCAGAUUAGGAGAAUCAUCAUCCAAGGUCUCAAAGCCAAAUUUAGGACGCAGAGAGAAAGAAUCCUAAGUGGUUGAAUGGGAAACUGAUUCUCCUCUUGAGCACACCUUAGAUUCAAAUAAUUGAUUGGAGAAGAUCAUUCCAUACAAAAAUCUUCUGACCUGCAGAGUUUCUACAAAAAGUCUUGAGAAAGAAAAAGAAAAACAUAUAUUUUUGGAAAAGAUUGAAUUUAAUUAUAAUUUUGCAAAUUAUACUGUGGGAAAGGUCAACAAAAACAAGCGUAUUGCGGAUGAUCUUAUAAAAAGAACCUUUUGUAAAGUAAACAAUUACCUUCUGAUUUGUCUACUCUGAACCCUUGAUGUUUAUUUAAAUUGGAUGUUCUCAUAGCAGGACACACCUGAUACCUGGCUUGUCUAAACACUUAGAAAGUCAAAUUGUCUAGUUAUCAAAGCCCAGGCUUAUUUUCUAAAUAAGUAUGGAUGGUCUUUCAGGAGUCAUUUCACAGUGAUGUGCAGAGAGAAAAACAAUACAAACAAACAAACAAACAAACAAAAAACAAAUCAUUGUUCCUAAGUGUGUUUUCCAGCCUAUGUCUAACUUUCUAGCAGAUAAUGGCAAUAAAAAUGUUUGGGUCCAACAUU